UUCGGGCGGACCCACAAGGGCAUAGUGUCGAUGGUUGGCCAGAAGACGCACGGCCUCGGUCCACCCACGACGCACGGCCUCACACAGAGGGUCAAUCUCUCUGCCACCAUCGCCGUGGUUGCGAUCGAGCACGGCCUCGGACACGCGGUACCCAUCGGCAUCGAGCACAACGCGCAACAUGACCAUGUCGCGGCGACGCACGGCGGCGAUGGCAGCGCGUGCCGGCAGGUCUAUACGGUCGGGUGCGUCGUAUGGUCGGUUCGCGACAAAGGCCAACAGUGUGCGCACCAGGAGGACCCGACGCCGAGCAACGGCCGACUCUAGACAGGCACGACUGACACCCACCGUCGUCAUAUCGCCCCUAUUGUUGCCGGCAUUGGUGUAGUCGUCGUCGUUGUUGUCACCAACAAGUGCGCUCAUGGGAAGUGCUGCCAACAGGCACAAGGGCACAGCAUCAUCGUUACGCACCGCCUCGCACGCGGCCUCGAUAUCGCGCGUCUCGAUGGGCACGGAGCGCAUCGUGCCCAUAUCGGACCGACAGCGUACGGCCAGUAGCCGCUGAGCAAUCCAACGAUUUGCAUGGCCAAAGAGCGAACCGUGUGGGUUGGGCGCCGCACAAAGCGCUGUCAUCACGCGCCUGUCGCCGAGCAGGCGAUCGACAGUUGUCUCGUCUCCGCGGCGACAGGCCUCAUAGAGAGCGCGGUUGGCACCGCACGACGGAUCGUGACCUGGCAGGGUGUCAAAGAGCAAACGAGCGCGCCUGCACGUGGCGCGCCAUGCGGCAGCCGCUUCGGGUGUAUCGACGGCGGCAAAGAUGCGCGACCAUAAUUCGGGCGGCAGGCGUGCAUCCAACGGGACGUUGUCGGUCACGGUGCCACAAAGUCGGAUACGCUUGGUGGGCCGCGACUCGCCCAUCGAUUUUCUAGCUAGUGCAAUCGCUUCCACCCUUUGGCCCGCGGGACCCGUUUGCUGUCUAUCUCUUUUGCCCCUUUUUUUUUCUCUUUUUUGUACGAGAGUCAGGCACAGUGUCUCGUCUUUUGUAUUUUGCUUUUUUUUGUGUAAAAGCACCACAAAUCAAAUACACGCGGCGAGGUUCCGCCCGG
rnacentral:lncRNA from 1 species